rnacentral:rRNA from 1 species
CCCAGACCGCCAACUAAGGUCCCAAAGUCAUAGAUAAGUGGGAAACGAAGUGGGAAGGCCCAGACAGCCAGGAGGUUGGCUUAGAAGCAGCCACCCUUUAUAGAAAGCGUAAUAGCUCACUGGUCGAGUCGGCCUGCACGUAAGAUUUAACGGGGCUAAGCUAUGCACUGAAGUUUCGGAAUAUAUUUAGUAUAUUGGUAGGGGAGCGUUCUGUAAGCCGAUGAAGGUGAAUUGAGAAGUUUGCUG